rnacentral:rRNA from 1 species
GUGGAGCAUGUGGCUUAAUUUGACUCAACGCGGGGAAUCUUACUAGGUCCGGACCGAUUCUAUGAUCGUCGUACUGUGGGGUGCUACGUGAUUACUGGAUGAGUGGUGCAUGGCCGUUCUUAGUUCGUGGUGUUAAUUGUCUACUUAAUUGUCAUCGGUUCUCGUAUCAUGCGAGAAUUGUUAACGAACGAGAUCGAGACACGUGGUUGCGUAUGUUUGAAUUCGGUAUUACUACGGGGAUCGCGUAACACUCCACGGUACGAUCGAAAGACUCGGCAAUAACAGGUCUGUGAUGCCCUCAGAUGUUCUAGGCUGCACACGUGCUACAGUGUGGCGUUGUAUCGUGUGUGUAUGCAGAGAACUGAUAAGAUCCCCCGCACCGAGUCAUAACUGGUCACACGGUUGGACUCACCGAUUGUCAAUUAUUCGGUAUACUAA